GAUGAACGCUGGCGGCGUGCCUAAUACAUGCAAGUCGAGCGAACGGACGAGAAGCUUGCUUCUCUGAUGUUAGCGGCGGACGGGUGAGUAACACGUGGAUAACCUACCUAUAAGACUGGGAUAACUUCGGGAAACCGUAGCUAAUACCGGAUAAUAUUUUGAACCGCAUGGUUCAAAAGUGAAAGACGGUCUUGCUGUCACUUAUAGAUGGAUCCGCGCUGCAUUAGCUAGUUGGUAAGGUAACGGCUUACCAAGGCAACGAUGCAUAGCCGACCUGAGAGGGGGGUCGGCCACCCGGGGACUGGGACACGGGCCAGACCCCCACGGGAGGCAGAAGUAGGGAAUUUUCGGCAAUAGACGAAAGUCUGAACGGGCAACGCCGGGUGAGUGAAGAAGGUUUUCGGAUCGUAAAGAUCUUUUGUAAGGGAAGAACGAUUGGGAGAGGGGAAAGUUCACACUGUGACGGUAUCUUACCAGAAAGCCACGGCUAACUACGUG
rnacentral:rRNA from 1 species